CAUUAAUAAGCAGUUUAGUGGAUGUUCUUGGCCAAGCUCCCCACAGCUGUGACGACGGUGACUGAUCUGCUUCGCAUUGGAAGAAAGCUCAGAUUAUAGACUUCAAGCCCUCGAAACAAACUUCCUGUGGUUUCAGAGUGAAACUCAGGAAGGCAUUCAGCAGGAGUGGAUCAGCUGCAGAGUGAAAGCAAGAACCUGUUUUUCACUCUACACAGUUCAUCAGCUGACUUCGCCUCCACUCUUCCUGUCAUCGGUAUUGCGGCACGCUAAAAUCAUCCUGAUGAAAUACGAUAGUGUGAGGCCAGAGUUGUGUGGCACGAGACAGGGGGGAUUAUUAAUUUCCUCUCAUCAGAUCUAAAAAUAGCAGCAAAAUCUCUGCUCAUCUGCUGCCUGAUGGGAAACAGAUUUAGAUUUAUUUGUUUUGCUCCUGAGCUGCAGACACUCAACCAUACACAGGAUCAAGGGAAUUAUAUUUCCAUGUCCCGUAUUAUGUUCCAGUAAAAGUGAUGCGUUGCUAUUGAGACAAAGGCAAUUUAACUGUCUGAUAUAUUUUUUA